rnacentral:lncRNA from 1 species
GUCCAGUAAACCUCUUUCUUUUGUAAAUUGCCCAGCUUCAGGGAUGGCUUUGUCAGCAGUGUGAAAACAGACUAAUACAAUCAUGUAUCAAUUGACUUAAAAUAUCUCUUUUAGCAUAUACUAAAUAAGUGGGUUAGUUUCUGGUCCUUAUUUACAGUACAUUGAUUUCACUGUUGUAUCUUAUAUUUUGCCUAAACUUGUGGGACUUCACCCUUCAAUAGAGUAGUUUAAGCAUUUACUGUCAGUCCUCUAUACCAGUGGGGGAUUGGUUCCAGGACCCCCAGGAUGCCAAAAUCCAAGCAUGCAUAAAAAAUGGCAUAGUAUUUGCAUAUCACCCACACACAUCCUACUGUGUCCUUAAAAUAAUUUCUACAUUACUUAUAAUAUCUAAUAUAAUGUAAAUGCUAUGUAAAUUUUUCUUAUACUGUUAUUUUUAUCUUUUUAAUUAUUGUAUUAUUAUUCUUUAUUGUUCAUGUCUGAAUAUUUUAAAUAUGAGGUUGGUUGAAUUUGCAGUUGUGAAACCUGUAGAUGCAGAGGGCCAACUAUACAUUUAAUGUAAUGAGUGUUAUUUUUUCUUUUAUUUCUGUAGUUUUGUACUUUAUUUUUAAUGUUCUCUUAUUUUUCCUUUACUUUUAAUUUUUUGUUGUAUGGGCUGUAAUUCCUUUUCGUAACCACCUUUUCCUCUAGUGACUUAGAACAGAUACAUUCUGUUUUUGCUUCAUUGCCAUCGAUAACCUAAUUGGCAAUAACAAGUGCAAAACACUCAUGAGUCCUCUUUAUAUAAAAUGAAGAAACUAACACUCUUAUUUAACUUCUUACUUUGCUCUGCCAUCUCCUAGGUUUUGGCUGACAGAUAACAUAGGGCAGUGAUCAAAGGGUUUACCUUCUCUGUGCCUCAGCUGCCCCAUCUCGAAAGUGGGCAUAAUAGUAUCAUAGGGUUAUUAUGAAAAUAAAAUGACAUAGUGCACAGGAUGCAUUUACAACAGUGCCUAGCACAUGGUAAGUCAGCAGUAACAUUGUAAUGAUCAGUAAGAUUGAAUACAUCCUUUAACUUUUUAAAUGAUAAUCAUUACUUUACAUCAUGAAACUUUUUAUUCAUUAAUUACUUUUACAGCCUUAUCUGGGGAAUUAUUUAGACUUUAUGUUUUACUUUAAUAGUUUUCUCACCUACUCUCAAUUCUUUCAUAUCAUAGUUUUCUAUGUGAGGACUCUUUAUUGUGAUCCAUCUACUAGUUGAUUGGAAUAUUUCUUUGGGUAAUUUUAGGUUAUACAUGUAUUAUAGUUAUAUUAAGUUUGUAAGGGCCAAGGGGAAAAAAAUAAUGACUUUUACAAAUUCAGUUGAUUUUUUCUUUCAUAAAAAAAUCAUUAGGCAGUCUGGAGCUGCUGUGGAAGUUUAGUUUCACAGUCAUCAGGAUGCCCAUCUUAUUUUCAUUUUCAUUCCUAAGUAACAAAAUGGCUGCUGCAGCGCCAUCUAUCACAUCUUCUUCCAUCCAGCAUGAAGGAAGAAAGCCCAAAGAAGAGGUUGGACCCUCCUAUUAAGGAAUCUUCCUAGAAGGUUUCCUUCGUCAGUCCAGGCAGGACUGUGCGGUUGGAAAAGGGACGGAUGCUGGUCCUGGAAGGGGCGUCGUUAUCUAGAAGCUCCCAACCUAAGUGGGUGACUCAUAGGGAGGGCAAGGAGAGAAGGACACAGCAAGCAACUUACAUGUAAAACAAGACGUGUGGGUUAUUAUGGAAGAAAUUCACAACCAAACUUGGGGUUAGCCCGUAUUGUUUUCCAAGAACUCUAUGUGGACAGUGACAAAAAACAGACCUAAGAACUAGCAGACUGGGCAAAGCUUUUUCACAUAACAACAACAAAAAAAGCAAUUCCUCAGGAAAAAAUGGUCAAUGGGUCAUUGUGUGUAGACAAAACUACAAGUUCUGCUCCAGACUCUGGGGAAACCAUGCUGCCAUCUUCAAGCUGUGGCCAUUCUGUAAUACAGACUACGCUAAAUCACAUGUUGUCAUCAAGGCAGAAUAUUUUGUUCCUUUAUGGGUCAGCCUGGGAUACAAAAUUAGAGAAACUUUGCAAUGAAAAAUCCCUUGUGUCUCAUUGAACUUUUUCCUUAAUUCAAACCUUUCCUUUCACAGUUUUGAUUAGUGCCUUUGCCCAUGUGGACAAUAUUUUAUGAUCAGGUUUUAAGAGUAAUCCAUCCAUGGCUGCUUGGCUGCCUGGAACUUAAAACAACGACAACAACAAUGUCCAGAUAAACCCAAUAAAAUAGGUUUUUAA